rnacentral:lncRNA from 1 species
CGGGAGUGGACUGAACAGAGUUUAAAGUUUUUAUCACUGCUGUUUUCCACUUCUGCAGGUAGAGAGGUAAUUGUACAAAAGACUUGGGAAUCCAGGAUAAGAUUCACUCUGUGGAGCACGGACAGAAAGUAUGAAUGAGCUUAAAGGGCUCAAAUAGCUGGGGAAGAAAAGAAAAAAGGUGAAUCAACUAAGAAGGCAGAGGACAAUGAAAAGUGAUGUAAAAGGGAAAAUGUAAAUGUGCCUUUACAGUCAGGACCUUGCAGGGAAUAGCAGAUCUCCAGAUGUGAAUGUGAACACUCCUGCCAGCCCAGCUGUUCAUACAGAAAUGCAGUUAGC